AGAGUUUGAUCCUGGCUCAGAUUGUACGCUGGCGGCAUGCCUUACACAUGCAAGUCGAACGGCAGCACGGGGGCAACCCUGGUGGCGAGUGGCGAACGGGUGAGUAAUACAUCGGAACGUGUCCUGUAGUGGGGGAUAGCCCGGCGAAAGCCGGAUUAAUACCGCAUACGACCUGAGGGAGAAAGCGGGGGAUCUUCGGACCUCGCGCUAGAGGGGCGGCCGAUGGCAGAUUAGCUAGUUGGUGGGGUAAAGGCCUACCAAGGCGACGAUCUGUAGCUGGUCUGAGAGGACGACCAGCCACACUGGGACUGAGACACGGCCCAGACUCCUACGGGAGGCAGCAGUGGGGAAUUUUGGACAAUGGGGGAAACCCUGAUCCAGCAAUGCCGCGUGUGUGAAGAAGGCCUUCGGGUUGUAAAGCACUUUUGUCCGGAAAGAAAACCUUUGCACUAAUACUGUGGGGGGAUGACGGUACCGGAAGAAUAAGCACCGGCUAACUACGUGCCAGCAGCCGCGGUAAUACGUAGGGUGCGAGCGUUAAUCGGAAUGACUGGGCGUAAAGCGUGCGCAGGCGGUUCGUUAAGACAGAUGUGAAAUCCCCGGGCUUAACCUGGGAACUGCAUUUGUGACUGGCGAGCUAGAGUAUGGCAGAGGGGGGUAGAAUUCCACGUAGCAGUGAAAUGCGUAGAGAUGUGGAGGAAUACCGAUGGCGAAGGCAGCCCCCUGGGCCAAUACUGACGCUCAUGCACGAAAGCGUGGGGAGCAAACAGGAUUAGAUACCCUAGUAGUCC
rnacentral:rRNA from 1 species